UCUCCACAUUUUUGACAUGAUACCGCCUCUUUUGGCUGCUUGAUUUUACAAAUUACAGCAUGUUAUAACAAUAUUCUUGUGGAUGAUUGUAAUCGACUCCAGGUAAACCAGUUUCUUCUUUAACAAGGGGGAGACAUUGACAUGUUGCUUAAAUAUAAAAUAUAUGUAAUAUUCAUAUAGCUAUUGCAGCCUAUUUAGCAAUCGGUAUGUCAAUUAAACAUGAUAAAAUAUUUUUGUUUUUUUAAUGAAAUGAAUUUUUUUUUUUUUUUUUCAUCAUUAGCAAUUCGUGACCUUCUAGAUAAGAGCGAGGAAUUAUUCAUUUGAACCUGUUCGAUUUCCAGUUAUGUUUUUGGAUAAGGUUUGCAUUAAAGAAUCAUAAAGAAUUUUUAUUAAAAUGAAAAACAAAACAUCAGAUUUCAGAUCUAAUCUGACAAUUGUGCAUCAUAACCAAUUUUUACGCAUAGAUUUGAGAAGCAUAACCCACAGACAAUUUCUUUCUUUAUUUCUCUUUUGUUACGUAUUAAAGCAUCUUAUCCAGCAGGGGGCGCUGCCUUCAAUGCUUCACCUUCUCUCCAACGCCAACUUGUCUCUUCAGUAUGAUUUGCCAAAUCAAUUGAUAAAGCUCAUGAAUUCUCUCUGUAGGCAACUAAAAAUAUCGACUGCUCAUCCUUGCAUCACUUCUCUCGACGCGUUGACAAGCUCUGCGCUAAUUCUGAGUGCUCAGGUGAGAUUUAUAUGACGGAUGGAGCAUAUGCCGCUGUGAGGUACACACGCGCGCGCGGGCGCGCACACACAUUAUUUCCCGUCACAGAAUUGAAGCAGACCAGCUGUGAAUGUCAGUGGCAAUCUCGCACAUAGUAACACUGAUAAGCAAGACAGAAAUUGGCACUGAGCCUUCCUCCCACAUACGGAGCCAUUUGAUGCUAAUAAGUGUCAGAUCUUAUAGGCUACAUUUAUUCUCCAUUGUUUUGUAGGAUGUCUUUGUGAAUUAUGGCUUGAAAUACUUUGUUUUCCACUAAAAUACUCUUCUUUGUGUGUAUAUAAACAUGUCUAUCUAUCUGUCUACAGUAUUAUUACUGUAUUCUCAACAGUUUUGUAACAUGUGCACAUUGAUAUAUAAUAAAGCAAGAGCACAAAAAGAACAAAAAACAUAAUUUAAAAUGAAAAUAUCAAUGAAAUUCAAGUGGUUAUUUAAAUAUUUUAGGUAUGUUGCUGGAUAUGGUCAUGUGAUAUGCUCAGGUUAUAUAAAGAAAAGUGACAAAAAACACAGGUAAAAAAGAAAGAAAGAAACUGUUACUGUAUAUACCAACACGAUGUGUGAUUUCAUCCCCAGUCUCCUGUAUUGAUCUUUACAAAGUUAAGAAAUAAUUUUUUGUGAUAUGUUUGAUCCAUCCAUCCACUCACCCAUCUAUCCAUCAAUCUAUCAUCUAUCUAUGGUGUCUAGCCAUCUAUUGACCUUUUUCUGCUAUGCAUUUUAAACUAGAGAUCAGUGCGGAUGUUUAUGAUUGAUGUGUAUGAUAUGGACGUGACACUGCUGUGACAGACAUGCCUUGCUCUGGGCAGACAACCUAAUUAAUCGCCAGGGACCGUGAUUGCUGUAAAUCAGUUUGCAAAACAGAGACCUUAGGCCUCUCCGGUAGAGGAAAAACAAGGAGCAUGGAGAAGGAAAACAGAAUCAAGCCCUUUGUGUAGCGCUGGAAGAAAAGUGCACACUUGCGUUAGGGACGGCAACAAAACAAAAAGGCCAUGAAAUAUGAAAGAGCCGCCUUUGUGUCAUUUGAAUAAUGGGGAUAAUUACCCUCUGUCCGGCAAAGCACCUGCAUUUGAAAUAAGCCUUUGAUAGCAACUUAAAUCCAGCGAGAUGGUGCUGUUUGAUUAAGAUUCAAGCAGACGCCGUCUCUGCCUUUACAGCAGCUGGAGAGAUCACUGUGUCAACAGACUGACUGCACACCUCUGAAUGCAUAUGCGAUAAUAUACAUAAAAAAAAAAAAAACAGAGGGUGAUGUAACUUUUGCCUUGCUGCAGACAGUAUUUUGGGGGUUUAAUAAACCUCAUCUCAUUAUCAAAGUGCAGAUAAUGUGAGUCUUUAUUAUUAUUAUUUGCUAAUUCUAUCCAGACCUGAGACUUUCAAAGCAGGCAGGACGUUGUGUGUCUACAGAUAUCUCAGUAUAGGAGAUAAACAGAUAGUCUUUAAGCACCUACAAAGCUAUCUCUUUUUAAUUUGGUUGCACUGCCAGGAAUCCAUAGAUGAGCAGCGUCUCUCAUUAAACCACAGUCCUGACAUUGUUCGCUAGGAAUGGCUUUUUCUAUGUCAGUCUGAUAGCAGAAAUUGCAAGAACAUUGUAACACGAAGGCAAUGAAAUUGCUCAGAAAGUAGACAUGUUUUGUUACUUUUUAUUCUCAAAGCAUUGAAGGCAAUACAGUAUACUGACAAAGAUCAUUGUUGCUUCGGGCUUGAAUCCCACACCACAAUGUGCUCAAUAUGGACUCUUUGAUUUCAUUUUGACCAUGGACAGGUCAAUUUGGCUUUAGGUUCAGAAUCCAGAAUGGAUCCAUGCUGUAUCUGUAACUCUUGCUGAGAAUGCACAAUAUACAGUAUAUUUGAGUUCUUUUUAUUAUUAUAAUAGAGAUCGCAUAGAAGAAUGUGGUUUCCAGUUAGUUGUGGAAUCCUCGUUCAUGCAUCUCCAGUGUUGGUGAGGGUCAUAGAUGAUCCUUUAUCGAUGCUUUUAUUAGACAGCUGAGUAUAAAUACAUUCAAGCUUUUCUUUAGUCUGCAUUAUUAUGGUAAUCUAUAAUCAGUAAUCUAUCGCUUGCCCUUUUCUCUUUACGACAGCCAGCUAUGUGCCACUCUGAAUCUGCCACGGUAAACAUCAAAAUUUUGCAGGGCAGCUGGAAUUGACAGAAAUGGAGCAUUUGCCUCCAGGACAGGAUAAUGAAUAUUUGUGGAUUUUUUUUUAAGAAAUUUGGACAAUAUUGCUGCUGCAUCUCUGUGCUGUUCCUUGAUGCUGAGGCUCAAAAGAAAUAUCAGGGAUAAAAUUUCACAAUUUGGCUGUGCUUCACUCAUUUUGGAAAAAUAACUGGUUGUGAGGAUCUGAAAGAAAUACUGCACUGAUUCAUAAACAGGGAAAUAAUGUAAAAAUGUAAAUGAAUAAAUUAAAUAAUAAAAUACAAUUGUCACAAGAUUAACCUCAUUGAUUUAUUAAUUAUAAUAAAGCAUGUUUUGUAUUGACAGCCAUAGUGUUACUAGUUUUCUCAUUAGGAUUUUACAUCUAAACAUUACUCUCAUGGUGGACAGUUAAAAAAAGAUUCAGUUGAAAAUCGAAAGUAAAUCUUUUCCAGCUAUUUUAUGCAUAUUUUUUUUAAUGUAUGUUUGUAUUUAUUUAUGUUACUGUAUACACUAGCUUUCAAGGUUUGGGAGCAGUAUGUUUUUUUUUAUUUUGAAUGUUUUUAUGCUUAGCAAGGCUGCGUUUAUUAUAGGAAUCAUCCGAUUUGGGGGUCCGAGGCAUCAAAAGGUUCAAAACCCCCUGAUCUAGAAUCCAGUCACUUUCCUAAUUGCCGGCUCGCUUAAAAGAGGCCAAAAUCUAAAGCAGACUGGUAAUUUCAUAACAUUUAGCUUUGAGUUAGAGAAAUGGGUGACACAUGUAAACAAAAGUUAUGGAUUUCAGCCACAUCCCAUAGAUGAAAGCCUUAUUUUUAAGAUCAAAGGCAGUUCCUUUCAUUUAAAAGGUGUACUUCUCCACAAAUUGGAACUCUUGUCUCGGCAACCUUCCUGUGAUGUUUUAAAUCAAAGAUUUCAAGAACCCUAUGUCAUGUCCAAACAAAUAUCUUUAGGCUCGGCGUGUAAAUUGAGGUCACUGUUCUAUACUCAAAAGCGGCAUGAAUGUUGGACAGAUAACAGGGUUUGCUUUCUGAAGGCUGAAGUGUGUUUGUGAUAUGUGUGUCACAGCAGCGGGUGAUAAUGCCACCUCCCAAAGCUGGCCAGGCAAACAUCAGCAUAGCGCCUUAUCUCUGAUUUUGCGCCACCACACCGCAGCUUUGGAUCCAAAUAGUUCUACUGCUGAAUGUGGAAAUAAAUAAAGAAAUAAACAUUCUUUUGAGCGGAAGAGGCUUAGGAGAGAUGAAUUAGGCUUUCUUGGAUAAACUGUCAGUCUGGUUUAUCAUGCUACAGAGCUGUAUCUAUUUCUGCUUGUCAACAAAUUUCGCUCUGAUUGGCGGUGACAGUCUUAAAUUUAGAGUUAAAUCCAACAAAGCCUCUUGUCCUCAAGUUAUGGGGCAAUGCUUACGUCAAACGCUGAAAAUGCAACAUGUUUCAAAGGGCUGACGAGAAAUGACACAGAAAUCUUUGUUUAAGAUUUCGUUUAACAAUCUGUAGGUUGGCGUGUUGUUUCCCAAAGGUAUUCUCUUUCUAUUUUACUCUUAUAAUUGGCAGAGGAGUCUGGAACAGCAAUUUCAGAAGUCUCUUUGAACUUUCAGGUUUAAAAGAAUUUCAGUGUGACUUUGUUGUAAUACACCAGCAAUCUUUUCUUGCAGGGAAAAUGUUCCUUUUGUCUGGAAUUUUUUUGCAGUUUAUUUUAAUAUUUGGGCUGACACUUGAAAGUUUUCAACUUUAAAAUCAUUUUAAAUGAUUUUAAAAUAUCUUUUGUAGGGAAAAUACCUUUGUAUCUGUUUUUAAGUUUUCAUCUUUAAAAUAAUUUAAUAAUUAAAAAAACAUUCUAAAUGAUACUUUAUCUGCAAUUUUUUUAAAUGUUUAUUUUAAUACCAGGGCAGACAAUAUAAAAUGAUUAUGUGAAAUGAAAUAGUCCUAAAAUAAGCCUUUAAAAUUCCUAGAGAAAAUAUUAUUUCCUGCAAUAUAUAUAUAUAUAUAUAUAUAUAUAUAUAUAUAUAUAUAUACAUAUACAUAUACAGUUGAGGUCAAAAGUUUACACCCCCCUUUCAGAAUCUGCAAAUUGUUAAUUAUACAAAAUGCAUGUUAUUGUUUAUUUAGUACUGACCUACUGACGUUUUGUGAAGUGAUAGUUGUUCAUGAGCCCCUUGUUUGUCCUGAACAGUUAAACUGCCUGCUGUUCUUCAGAAAAAUCCUUCAGGUCCCACAAAUUCUUUGGUUUUCCAGCAUUUUUGUAUAUUUUACAAUAAUUGACUAAUUGAAUAUAUUUUUUGUCUUGCAGAGGAAAGUGUCUUGUCAAUAAAGGAAAUGGAAAAAAAUAUACAUUCAUGUCUAUUUUCUUCCAACAUGGAGUUAUUUAGUUGGCAUUCAUUAUCAUCGUCUGUGAUGACAUCAAUCAGCCGAAGGGCAAGGUAAGAGCAUCCUCAGCUGUCUCAAAUAACAGGUCUUCUCUCGGUUUGAUUGCAGUCAUCUCGUAGCGCCACAAUAGCAGCUGUGUGCACUGCGUCUGUCUUUGAGAGAAGGAUCUCUGUUAUCUGUCAUGUCACAACUCUGGAGUCCAUUCUCCAUAAUACAAUUUGCACAUAUUGCAAUUUUCGAAGCAUCGUUGCAGCAAAAGUAAGUUGCAAGCAUAUAGCAUAUAGGUGACGCAUGUCGAUUUUUCAAGAGCGUCAUUUAGAAUAAUGUGGGAGUUUGUGUCCUCUUCAGAACAGAAAAUUACAGCGGUGAUUCAAGCCUUUUAUCUUGGCGAACUGUGUGGACUUCCUUCCAGAAAUGACGGCAGAAUGAUGUGUGUUGUCCAUUGGAGAAAUGAUUAAGGAUCUGUUGAUUUGGGCAUCUGUAUCUCAGGUAGUUGAAUGCCGCUGACCACAUCACUCAGUGAGGCGGUGAGUGGAUGUGACGUGCACCAGAGGGAAAGAACAGAAGACCAAAUCAAUAUUCACUCAUACUGGACACAACUUUCUGAAGAAGCUUCAAAACAACCCUCAGUCUGGGAUAAGAGACAUGAUGUGCGUCAGUCAGAGCGAAGAAUCUGCCAGCCGUCAGCUCAAGCACCAAUCAUGACCUGCCAUUCACAACAUCCUGAAAUCUUCAAUGUUCAGGCAUCACGUGCUUCCCUAUAAGGUACAGUGAGGUCCAAAUUCUUAUACCACUAGUAGAGAUGCUUGUAUUUGUAUUUUUAAAAUAAUUUCUCAUUACAAGUAUAUUUAAUUUUCAGUCUGAAAUUUUAUGUGUGGGAUUAAAAUUAAUUUUAAGUCUUAGUUUUUGGUGUCUUUUCAGGGCUCACGUCUAUGGUUAAAAUGGUUAAUCCCAGGCUCAUUCGCAAUACGUGUCUAUAAAUACAUUUCUGCAACACCGUCAUUAUGUACCUUACUGCAUGUUUCGCGGCAGUUUCAAAGUGAAACAUCCAGUGAGUGGCGCUAAAAUGCGGGUUAAAACAUGACCCUGGCACGUAUUUGUUACGUUGAUAUAGGCACGUAUUGCUGUUUGUAUUACGUUGCUUCAGGUACAUAUUCAAAUAUCCGUAAUUCAAAUAUCCGAUGAGUGUCGCUAAAAGUUAAUUCUCUAUCGUGUUGGAAAUAUCCCCUACGCCAAACCCAACCCUAAACCUACCCGAUAGUGUUAACAAAUGCAAAAGUGAUAUAAAAACGGAUUUGUUGAUGCAGCCAGGCGAUUUUAACUUCCUUUAAACGUCUGAGCUGAGCUGUUUUGUUGAACCGUAGGUUUUUGUUUUGUCUUAUAAAUUGAGCUCUUCAUCUCUCAAGUGCAACACCGUAUCACGUGAGCUACCAAGAAAACCUACGGAAUUAGAAAACUCGUGCAUAUGAAGCUGUGUACAGGUGCAUCUCAAUAAAUUAGAAUGUCGUGAAAAGUUCAUUUUUUCUUGUGUUAUUUCAAAAAGUGAAACUUUCAUAUAUUUUAGAUUAAUUGCAUGUAAAGUAAAACAUUUCAAAAGUUUUUUUUGUUUUAAUUUUGAUGAUUAGAGCUUACAUCUCAUGAAAGUCAAAAAUCAGUAUCUCAAAAUAUUAGAAUAUUUACAUUUGAGUUUCAAUUAAUGACCAUCCCUACAGUAUAAAUUCCAGGUAUCUCUUGUUCUUUGAAACCACAAUAAUGGACUGCUGACUUCGCAAUGAUCCAGAAGACGAACAUUGACGCCCUCCACAAAGAGGGUAAGUCACAGAGGGUCAUUACUGAAAGGUGUGGCUGUUUACAGAGUGCUGUAUCAAAGCAUAUUAAAUGCAAAGUCUGGAAGGAAGAAAUUGGGUAGGAAAAUGUGCACAAGCAACAGGGAUGACCGCAAGCUUGAGAAUACAGUCAAGCAAAGUUGAUUCAAACACUUGGGAGAGCUUCACAAGGAGUGGACUGAAGCUGGAGUCAGUGCAUCAAGAGUCACCACGCUCAGACGUCUUCAGGAAAAGGGCUACCAAGCCACUUCUGAACCAGAGACAACGUCAGAAGCAUCUUACCUGGGCUGUGGAGAAAAAGAACUGGACUGUUGCUCAGUGGUCCAAAGUCCUCUUUUCAGAUGAAAAUCAUUUAGAAACAUAAAAACACAUAAAAGCUUCCAAAGUUUUGGGCCUCUGGUGGGCCACAGAGGUAUUGCAGGGUGCCCAUUGCCUAGGCUAAGUCAAUCCAAUGAACAUUUUCUCUGUUCUGAAAUGUUUUUCUCAUAAUAUCAGUAAAUAAUAUAUCAAAACUAACUUUUGGAGCCUUUGCUUUUUUGGAAGCUCAGUUCUAGUAAGAUUAUAUCAAACAAUAACAUGUGCAAUAAUAAUUUAAAAUGCAACUGAGAAAGAUUUGUGCAUGUCCACAUAUUUAUUCAGUCAAUGAGUGAAUCAACCCACACCUGAACUCCCUUAAUGAACCAUGAGUCAUUUUUCAGUUAUGUCAGUAAUGAACCAUUAACUGUUACUGUGAUGUAUACUAGACUUACAUCAAUCUAUUUAUUAUUUGUUCAUAUAACAUGUUAAAUGCAAACAUUUUGACAACAGGGUUUGGUUGUAAAAAAUAAUAAUAGUAUUCUAUAAUAAAUGUUUGUCAGCAGGAUCUUGUGAAAGUAUGACAUUUUCUCAUGGUCAUUGUGGAAAUUUUGUUUAAUAGUUCUAAAUCAUCAAUAUUUUUUAUUCAAUUUAUGUCAUAGUGUUUCUGUUUUAAUUUUUUUUAUUUUAAAAACUGUUUAUUUCCUGGUUUAAAUGUGAUUUUGAAUUAGACUUUUUACUCCACUUUCAAGCUAUGAAACUCAAGUGGCCAUUCAGUUGUCCUCUUUUAGUUUGUCCAUUGUAUGCCUUAUUUAUUUUAAAGAUUGUAUUCUAUGUCAAGAGCAUCUUCUCUACAGCAAUUUAGACAAACAACACAAUCUCAUUUCACUCUCAUAACAGGAAAAGCAAUUAUUCUUCUGAGCAACAUCUAAGUGGUUUCACACAAGGACCUGUUUUUGUCAUCUAAACACCUUUUUCGUGGCUAAAUGGAUAUUUUCUGGUUAUGUGUCUCCAAUUGCAAGUUUAUAACUCACAAUGUGACUUGGUCUUUGCUUACAAGACAUAUCAAUGUGAUAUUGAAGUCCUGCAGCACCUAACUCUGAUAACCUGCAGUGGCCUCUGAGAGCUUUUUGCACUUUUAUUCCAUUAUUGCUAAGUUCAUACAGACCCACCUGUACAUGGGGAACACACAUGAGUGAUUGUGAGCUGGCUUUAAUCUGUCUCGCCGCGCUGUGCCUGGGGAGGGCUGCAGGUGGCUCAGACCACAUGGAGCCAAUGCCAACAGCACAGCGCUUCCUAACACACAACACCACUCCAGCACUGAACUGUGUGCUUUUCAGUAGCUGCAGAUUUCAGAUAGAACUACAUUCCUUUGAUUAAUUAUUUGACUUUCUGAGUGGUCUGUGCCUACAUGGAAAAAUAUUGAUAUUCCUCGUAGAUGUCUCUUACAUGACUUUUCAACUGCAUAUGAAAAGAGAAGCAAUCGAUGGAUAAUUAAAUAUUAUUGACUAAUCUUUUUCAUUUAUGAUUUCUCGGAUUCUUUUUCCUGCGAGUUGAA